CAGCAGCCGCGGGAACACCAGCACCUCGAGUGGUCAGGAGGUUUAUUGGGCCUAAAGCAUCCGUAGCCGGUUGCAUAAGUUUUCGGUUAAAUCUAUGCGCUUAACGUAUAGGCCGCCGAAAAUACUGUGCAGCUAGGGAGUGGGAGAGGUACACGGUACUCGAUAGGAAGGGGUAAAAUCCUUUGAUCUAUUGAUGACCACCUGUGGCGAAGGCGGUGUACAGAACACGUUCGACGGUGAGGGAUGAAAGCUGGGGGAGCAAACCGGAUUAGAUACCCCCGUAGUCCCUGUCUCUUAUACA
rnacentral:rRNA from 1 species